rnacentral:rRNA from 1 species
UACGAAGGGGGCUAGCGUUGCUCGGAAUCACUGGGCGUAAAGGGUGCGUAGGCGGGUCUUUAAGUCAGGGGUGAAAUCCUGGAGCUCAACUCCAGAACUGCCUUUGAUACUGAGGAUCUUGAGUUCGGGAGAGGUGAGUGGAACUGCGAGUGUAGAGGUGAAAUUCGUAGAUAUUCGCAAGAACACCAGUGGCGAAGGCGGCUCACUGACCCGAUACUGACGCUGAGGCACGAAAGCGUGGGGAGCAAACAGG